GUGGAAAUGUGAAGAUCGCUGUGAAAACUGGAAAGAAGCCCCAGAAGACAGCAAUGAAGAACAACAAUCCUGCCUGAUCUUGCAGACCUUUUGGAGUAGUACUGUCUGAGCGCCACCAGAGUAGACCAAGAAUAACAGCAGUUGCAAUGACUUGGGUGAUUCUCAUCCAACUCAAAUAAUCGUGUCGCCGUUCUUUCAGACCUCUCCAAAACAGGAUGUUAUAUUGUUGGCACCAGCUCGCUCCCCAUUCCCUUUUUUGCUUUGAUAUUUUUG
rnacentral:misc_RNA from 1 species